AUGGGAAAUUGUAGGAGUUGUUAUAAAUGUUGUUGUGAACCUGACGAGGUUCAAUAUGAAGGAGAUGCAAAACGAAUGGGUCAGAAAGCACUAGAUAAUGUAAAAUAUAUAAAAAAGUGGGAAAAGAAGUAUGGGUUUAGAGGAAAGUUACAGGUGGAAGAAUGCAAAGAAUUGGUAGAAAAGAUAGAGACAAAGUCAAAGGGAAGUAAGAAGAGGCAGAAGAAGGAAGGUUAUGCACAGGCAUGGUUGGACGAGGCAGAGGCAAGAAAGAGAGGAAUGCAGAAGCAGAAAGAAAAGGAAGUGAGACAACGCAAAGAAGAAAUUGAGAAAAGAGAGGUUGAAGAAAGGAAGAGACAGGAAGAAAAAGAGAAAAAGGAAAAGGAAAAAGAUUCAGGAAGUAAUAAACUUUAUCCUGUUUUGUACUCCAACCGAGAUAAACAGGAGGAUGAUGAUUAUGUGCCUCUGGGUCCCCAUCCUGAUCCUCCCCCGUACAUCAACCCUCAACUACCGCCGCCUCCUGCCCAGGCCUCCGCUCCACGUCCUCCCCCUCCUUCUCUCUCUGCACCUACUCUCUCCGCUCCUGUACCAACAGAAAGAGCCAUAGGAAGUGCAAAAACAACAAGGUCUGGUAAGUGGUAUGACUCUUUUAAACCUUCUGUCAUGCCUAUAAUCUCCCCGCCAAAGAAGACAGUGAGUUUAAACAUAGAAGAAGAAGAAAUAUAUCCAAUGAUAGAAAUGCCGAACCCAAGAGCUGGGGAUGGACAGGAUGCAACAAUUAGAGUGUAUAGAGCUUGGACAGAGGGUGAUGUGAAAGACGCAGCAUGCGGCGUUCCACAUCCCAUGGAAAAUACAGGAGAGUUUAGAGAACAAUUUCAAAGAUUGUGUAACAGUUUCCAGUUGAACACCUUAGAGGCAGAAAGAAUACUAAGGUGUAUUGUGAAGCAAGAUUGGUGUUUGAUUAAGGGGACAUGGGACCCAUUCCGCAAUAAUGUCACCAUACCAUAUGGGGAUGCUCAAUGGACUGUCCGAGUUGAUGCUUUAAUUCAAAGAAUAAUAACUCACUUUCAGGGAAGAGCAGACUAUAGUAAAAUAGCGCGGUGUGUACAGAAUGCAGAUGAAGGUGUGUUGAUUUACCUAGAUAGACUGAAAAUAGUGUUUGCAGCAAACAGCGGUAUGCAACAGGAUAAUGCUGACAAUGGUCCCUACAAUAUGCAGUUGAAAAAUGCAUUCCUGAAUGGAAUGAGGCCAGAGAUCUCACAGUUUGUGAGAAAACACCUAAUUGGUGUUGGAACAGCUGGGAUACAAGCUACGACUGACCAUGCAGUACAUGCAGAGAAUGUACUGAAAGAAAAGAAGGCCAAGAAAGGCGGAACAAAAAAGGCAAGUGAAGUGUUUGUCAUGGAUGAUGAUGAUGAUGAUGAAAAUUAUCCUAAUGCAUUUACUGAUGUGUAUUUUUGA
rnacentral:lncRNA from 1 species